GGUUGUGGCUCAGCAGUAGAGCGCUUGCCUGGCAUGCUCGAGGCCCUGGGUUCGAUCCUUAGCACCA
rnacentral:tRNA from 1 species